AGGACGAACGCUGGCGGCGUGCUUAACACAUGCAAGUCGAGCGAGGUCCUUCCUUCGGGAAGGUGCCCUAGCGGCGAACGGGUGAGUAACACGUGGGCAACCUACCCCUAGCACUGGGAUAACUCCGGGAAACCGGGGCUAAUACCGGAUAUGACCUUUGAGGGCAUCCUCGAAGGUGUAAAGGAUUCUGGCUAGGGAUGGGCCCGCGGCCUAUCAGCUUGUUGGUGGGGUAACGGCCUACCAAGGCGACGACGGGUAGCCGGCCUGAGAGGGCGACCGGCCACACUGGGACUGAGACACGGCCCAGACUCCUACGGGAGGCAGCAGUGGGGAAUAUUGCACAAUGGGCGAAAGCCUGAUGCAGCGACGCCGCGUGAGGGAUGACGGCCUUCGGGUUGUAAACCUCUUUCAGCAGGGACGAAGCGAAAGUGACGGUACCUGCAGAAGAAGCACCGGCCAACUACGCGCCAGCAGCCGC
rnacentral:rRNA from 1 species